AAUUGUGUUGUACCACACAAACAUUAAACAAACAAUUCCAAGGUCAUUUACAAAUUUUGAUGCAACUUACACUUGGAAUUUAAUAAAUAAAGUGCCCAAGACAAAUGAAAAAUAGCUUGGAUUGUGGCUUUUGUGUUAUGAGGUUCAUGAAAGACAUCAUUAUCUAUAAUGAGAGCACAAUUCCUGUGAUGUACUAUGAGGAUUCCUACAAUGAAGAAUUUGGUCAUGCACAAAUAAAUGAGGUAAUUAAAGAGUGGUGCCAGUACAUAUUUCAAGUAUGGUCAUUACACAAAGAUGCAUCAAUAGACUUAGUGCAAGAAGG